GGCCCCGUAGUUCAGCUGAAUAGAACGUCAGAUUCCGGUUCUGAAGGUCACAGGUUUGAAUCCUGUCGGGGUCACUA
rnacentral:tRNA from 1 species